GUAGGGAAUAUUGGUCAAUGGACGAAAGUCUGAACCAGCCAUUCCGCGUGCAGGAAGAAGAUUCUAUGGAUUGUAAACUGCUUUUAGCAGAGAAGAAACGCCUUCAUUGAUGAGGGUUUGACGGUAUCUGCGGAAUAAGCACCGGCUAACUCCGUGCCAGCAGCCGCGGUAAUACGGGGGGUGCAAGCGUUAUCCGGAAUCACUGGGCUUCAAGGGUGCGUAGGCGGGAAAUUAAGUCAGUGGUGAAAGUCUGUUGCUUAACGAUAGAAUUGCCGUUGAUACUGAUUUUCUUGGAUUGGGUUGAGGUUAGCGGAAUGUGACAUGUAGCGGUGAAAUGCAUAGAUAUGUCAUGGAACACCGAUAGCGAAGGCAGCUGACUGAGCCUUGAUUGACGCUGAGGUACGAAAGUGUGGGUAGCGAACAGGAUUAGAAACCCCUGUAGUCC
rnacentral:rRNA from 1 species